GAUGAACGCUGGCGGCGUGCCUAAUACAUGCAAGUCGAGCGAACGGACGAGAAGCUUGCUUCUCUGAUGUUAGCGGCGGACGGGAGAGUAACACGUGGAUAACCUACCUAUAAGACUGGGUAAACUCGGGAAACCGGGGCUAAUUCCGGAUAAUUUUUUUAACCGCAUGGUUCAAAAGUGAAAGAAGGUUCUGCCGGUACCUUUUGAUGGGUCCGCGCUGCAUUAGCUAGUUGGUAAGGUAACGGCUUACCAAGGCAACGAUGCAUAGCCGACCUGAGAGGGUGAUCGGCCACACUGGAACUGAGACACGGUCCAGACUCCUACGGGAGGCAGCAGUAGGGAAUCUUCCGCAAUGGGCGAAAGCCUGACGGAGCAACGCCGCGUGAGUGAUGAAGGUCUUCGGAUCGUAAAACUCUGUUAUUAGGGAAGAACAUAUGUGUAAGUAACUGUGCACAUCUUGACGGUACCUAAUCAGAAAGCCACGGCUAACUACGUG
rnacentral:rRNA from 1 species